GAGCAGGGGGGGGGGACGGGGAAGGGCCUGUCAGUCACCUGAGGUAAGAUGAUGUUAGGAUCAGGGUGAAGACAGGCUAAGAGUAAACUGGAAUUCUCUCGGUUUGGUACAAAGAAUGUUCUGGUGAGAUGACAGAACCUAUUUUUCAUGGUGGAACUUGAGACCUUCAAAAUGCCCACCAUUAACCAUGGAGAUGAGGCACUCAGCUCCCCAGUCCUGCAGCAUCCCGAGGUCCUUUGUCAUUUUGUUACUCUCGAGUAGCUAAGAUCAUGUGAGGCUAUCAACAAAUCACAGCAUAAGCCUUGGGCCAUGGGAGUUAGCAAGUGGGAAGGCUGGCUCAGUGCCACCUAGGAAAUACCCACUCCCACCUUAAGGGGGAGCCAGAGUGCACCGUUCAUAAACCUGUUGUUAAAAUUUGAACUGUGUGCUAGGUCAUGGGGCAGAUUCGGGUACAAGUCCUGCCCUGCCCUGCCCUGCCCUGCCCUGCCCUGCCCUGCCCUGCCCUGCCCUGCCCUGCCCUGCCCUGCCCUGCCCUGCCCUGGCAGCAUUUGUGACACGCACAAAUGUUAAAUAGGGAUGUGUAGGCAGCAGAGGUGGAUUUGACUCCAGCUGAGGAGUUAAGUCCCAAGCCGAGGCUGGAGGUAAUUAGCAAGCAGUGGGAACAGUGUUCAGUGGACAUGGAACGGCAUAUGAUAAGGAACGGCAGGUGUAGAGCAGAAUGCGGGUGACCAAUCAAGUUCCCAUGAUAUGCCAUUCAUCCGGUGGCACUGAUGAUUGGACAUUCUUGUCAGCAAGCAAGACACAAGGGUACCAACUACUGCUGCUCAAGGGUGGCAGGGACCGCCAGGGCCUGGAGAAGCGAGAAGACCUGUUGAGGAUCAGGGUCGGGAAAAAUUACAAAACUACAUUCUAUUCCUCAUGAAGCCGCCCCGAGACCGUUUUUAAAAUUCGAAUCAUGUCCCUUCUCUACUCAAAAUCCCCCAGUGCAAUCACCCCGCCUGCCAGCAGCGCCAGAGUCCUGACAGUGAUUUAUAAGUCCUACAUGAGGGACUGGAGGUGGGGCGCACCCAGUUGAUAGAGUGCUUGCCUAGGAUGUACAAAGCCCUGGGUUUGAUCCCCAGUACUUGCCUAUUCUCUCAGCACUCUGGAAGUGGAAGCAGACACACAGAAGUUCAUAGUGAUGUGCGAGACAAGCAUAACAUCCUGUCUCAAAAUCAAGUCUGCAAGCUUUGGACCACCUCUUUGGCAGCAGUAGUGGCUGGGCGUGGUGAUGGUGGUGUGUGCACACCUUGGUACUGCUGCGUCACAGGCCUAUAAAUAGGUGAGGCUUUAUGGGCUAAGUGGUAAGUGCUUUUAUAUAUAAUGUAUGCAUGCACAUUAUGUAAUAUAUUCCUCACAGUCAACCUGGAGGCAGGUCUUUUUAUUAUCCCAGUUUUAUAGAGAAACCAAUUGGAGGUCGAAGGCGCUAAAUCAUUGCCCAGAGCCACACUCAGAGCAGGUGGCUGCUUGUAACCAAAAUUCUCCGGGGCUAUUGGAAAGGAGCCGCUUUGCCUAAGCAGCACAAAGCUUUGCGCAGACUCUAAAUGCGGUCGGGCGCUGGCCAUGGUGCUGAACAGAAUAGCCGCAGCUUCUCCGCUUGAGAUUGUCAGGUAACCUUGGAAUUAAGGAGCUCUUUCUCAACCAUGGUGAUGAAAGAAACGUGAAAGUGUGUUCGGAAAGAAUCUAUAGUUUCUCAGCAACGAAGACAGAAAUUUUCCUGUCUCACAAAUUCUGGGACCAAAGUAUCUACUUUUUUGUUGUUGUUGUUGUUGUUGGUUUUUCGA